rnacentral:snRNA from 1 species
UCACGUCAUUGAUACACGGAAGA